rnacentral:lncRNA from 1 species
GGCCCACAUCUGCCCUCUUUCCUCCAACGCGCACACUGCCGUCACAGCCUUCCGCGGCGGCGGCCUCAAGCGGCCCAGGCAGCCUCUGCUGCCGAGGGGGCCCAGGCGCCCUCAGCUGCCGAGGCGGCCUGACUCAGCCGAGGCGCCUCACGCGGCCGAGGCGCCUCACGCGGCCGAGGCGCCUCACGCGGCGGCGGUGGCGGGCGGCGCCUUCUGCAUGAGCGUGAUCUUGUCGCCCAGCGAGAGCGCGAUGCCCUGCGUCUUGGAGCGGAUGCGGAUGUAGCCCACCAGGCGGCCGCCCGCGCCGUCCGGCCCGCCCGCCGUCUUCU